CAGGCUCGGAGGAGCCGCGCUGUCACCCAGCAGCCGCGCGCCCCGGGCCGCCGGGGGCCAGAGACCCUCGGGGUUGCGGGGCGGGACCCCACUGCCGGCAUCCGCGCCCCCUCGCCAGGUCGGCCAGAGCCCCGGCCGCCAGGGGAGGCAGCGGGGGUGGGUGUGAGUGUCGGCGAACGCGAGAGCAGGCGCGCGCGUUUGUGUGUGUGUUCGCGCGCGCGGGCACGGAUGCUGCGGGCCCCCCUGAGUGUGCGUGUGCGCGUGGGCGUGCCUGUGACUCCGUCCGAGACCACCUGCAACCCAGAGGGGACCCACUCGCUCCCUCCCUACCUAGGCCUCUUUGGGUUUUGCUUCCCUGGGGCGGAAAGGAGUCGCUGGUUCCCAACUUUGGCGGACCCGUGGAACCCUCUGGGGACCUUUUACAAUCCCACCCACCACCACCACCCCCCGGCCACUGCACCCCAGACUCGCUAAUAACAGGCCCUCGGGGCUCUCCAGCGCGGUCUCCCACCCGUCCUAAGGUGAGAGUCGGACAGAAGCCGCGACCUGGCCCCCAGCCAGCGCCCGAGGAGGCGAAGGCCGCCGAGCCCAGCGUUUGGGGCCUCGGAGCUUCGCCCUCGCCGGCUGAGGUCAAGUGCACAGUCCUCCCACACUACCGCUCGGGUCUCCUCAAGCUUCCGACUGGGCAACUUUAUCGCCGAGUUUGCAUAGCAUCCUUAGAGCUGCCCGUGGGAAGAAAAGUAUCGGAAACUAGGCCUCUGUUGAGUCACGAAAGGUCAACAAAGCAGCAAAUUCGGCCGACCGAACUGGAGCCCAGGACCGGGGGACUCGAGGCCCACGGUCUUGCCACUGUGACAUUAGAAACAAACACCGCUGUUUCAUGCGCAGCAGACGUCAGACUGAACCAGCCGGGUCGGGUCCCUGGAAGGACCCUGGGAGGACCGUGGGGAAGAGUGGACCCACGGCCCGAGAUGGCUGACACAGACCGGAAGGCAUCCCUAGAGCAUGCCCGCGGCCUCUCCUCCAGGCGGGAUGACUGCGCCACCUUUGACCUGACCGCCGCCUCCUCCGCUCGGCCCCGCCCGCAGUCCAGCCCCCUGCAGACCCCGGCUCCCAGCCCACUUCCUACAGGAAGGAAAAAGGACUGCACAAGCCGUUCGCCGCCACCCAGGAGCUGUCGGCAGCUGCGCCGCCGGGGGCGGGGCGAGCG
ensembl:lncRNA